rnacentral:rRNA from 1 species
GACAGAGGGUGCAAACGUUGUUCGGAAUUACUGGGCGUAAAGCGUGUGUAGGCGGCUACGUAAGUCGGAUGUGAAAGCCCCGGGCUCAACCCGGGAAGUGCACUCGAUACUGCGUAGCUUGAGUAUCGGAGAGGUUGGUGGAAUUCUCGGUGUAGAGGUGAAAUUCGUAGAUAUCGAGAGGAACACCGGUGGCGAAGGCGGCCAACUGGACGAAUACUGACGCUGAGACACGAAAGCGUGGGGAGCAAACAGG